UACGAAGGGGGCUAGCGUUGCUCGGAAUCACUGGGCGUAAAGCGCACGUAGGCGGCUUUUUAAGUCAGGGGUGAAAUCCUGGAGCUCAACUCCAGAACUGCCUUUGAUACUGGAAAGCUCGAGUCCGGAAGAGGUGAGUGGAACUGCGAGUGUAGAGGUGAAAUUCGUAGAUAUUCGGAAGAACACCAGUGGCGAAGGCGACUCACUGGCCCGAUACUGACGCUGAGGCGCGAAAGCGUGGGGAGCAAACAGG
rnacentral:rRNA from 1 species